rnacentral:rRNA from 1 species
ACGGGAGGCAGCAGUGGGGAAUAUUGGGCAAUGGGCGAAAGCCUGACCCAGCAACGCCGCGUGAAGGAAGAAGAUCUUCGGAUUGUAAACUUCUUUUAUGAGGGACGAAGGACGUGACGGUACCUCAUGAAUAAGCCACGGCUAACUACGUGCCAGCAGCCGCGGUAAUACGUAGGUGGCGAGCGUUAUCCGGAUUUACUGGGUGUAAAGGGCGCGUAGGCGGGGUUGCAAGUCAGAUGUGAAAUCUAUGGGCUUAACUCAUAAACUGCAUUUGAAACUGUAACUCUUGAGUGCUGGAGAGGUAGACGGAAUUCCUUGUGUAGCGGUGAAAUGCGUAGAUAUAAGGAGGAACACCAGUGGCGAAGGCGGAUUGCUGGACAGUAACUGACGGUGAGGCGCGAAAGUGUGGGGAGCAAACAGGAUUAGAUACCCUGGUA